ACUCCKACGGGAGGCAGCMGUGGGGAAUUUUGCGCARUGGGGGAAACCCUGACGCAGCAACGCCGCGYGAGUGAUGAAGGCCUUCGGGUCGUAAAGCUCUGACAGGGGGGAAGAACCGGCMGGAUGSUAAUACCAUCCCGCCCUGACGGUMCCCUCAAAGGAAGCACCGGCUAACUCCGUGCCAGCAGCCGCGGUAAUACGGAGGGUGCAAGCGUUGUUCGGAAUUAUUGGGCGUAAAGCGCGUGUAGGCGGUUUGUUAAGUCUGAUGUGAAAGCYYUGGGCUCAACCCGGGAAGUGCAUUGGAAACUGGYAGACUUGAAUACGGGAGAGGGUAGUGGAAUUCCUAKUGUARGARUGAAAKCCGUAKAUAUUAKGAGGAACACCGGUGGCGAARGCGGCUACSUGSYCCGAUAUUGACGCUSAGACGCGAAAGCGUGGGGAGCAAACAGGAUUAGAUACCCUGGUAGUCCACGCCGUAMACGAUGAGAACUAGGUGUUGCGGGUAUUGACCCCUGCAGUGCCGCAKCUMACGCAUUAAGUUCUCCGCCUGGGAAGUACSGUCGCAAGACUAARACUCAAAGGAAUUGACKGAAKG
rnacentral:rRNA from 1 species